ACGCGCAAGAUUUCACGCGCAAGAUUUCACGCGCAAAAACCGUUACAACCGUUGCAGCGCAAGCACAGGGACUGAGAGGAACAGGGCACCUAUCUGAGGUAAAACCUAACAAUUUUACUAUUCACUUUAUAAAAAAUAGAAGAUAACAUUAACGUUAUGUAGCCUUAUGUUAAUAUUAAAGCGUGGGCUGCAUAUUUUGAGUGUUUUUGAAGAACAUAUCUAAGACCAGAUGUCUGGAAAUAAUGGGAAUCUUCAGAUAUGAAUCACAAACGUGAUGUAACCUAUUUUUGAUAUAGUACUGUAAAUACAUUAUUAAUAGUAUAUAAAUGUAUAUUUAUCUUUGCAAAUGAACUUUUAUGUGAUAUCAUUCUCAUCUAAACUGCAAUUAUUUUUCUAGGGACUGAAACAAAUAUGAGCACAGAAGUUAUUCAAUGGACUUCUCAAGAUGUGACUGGUUGACUGGAAAAAGUUUCCACAAAUUUAUCCUAAUUUCCUAAUUAUUUCAAGGUUGAUCUCACAGGAAUGCCUACUCUUUUUAACUGUGUCAUAUGCAGCAAACAAACAUUUUCUAUAAAAAGACAUAUUGGCCUUUAUCACCAAAAUAGCCCAAAAUUUGAAUUCACACGUGGAUUAAAUAGUUGUGGCAAAAUAAACAAAAUCUUCAGUUCCUAUAGAUUAGGUUAAAAUGUAUGUUUGCUGCAAUAUAUAAUUCAGCAUGCAUUUUUGUUAAAAUUAUCAUCUUCUACUCCUUGUUUUAGAGAAUGAAAUUGAUGGGGAUACGUUAAUUAACCUAACUCAGAAUAUGAGCUAAAUGUUUUCCUAAAAUACAGGAUCAAGUAAAAUUCAUUAGACUACACAGAAACAAAUAAAGACUGAAAUGCCUACCAAGACUACACACAUCAGUCAUGAGUGUCCAACAAGUUACCAAUUAAACAAGGUGUGAUUAUCCCUUGUCACCAAAUACCAGUUCUUGAGAGACUGGUAAGAGAAUGGAACCACAAGAUUUCAUCAAAAGUCCAACAGAUAACCAGUGCAGAGGUAAAGCAUGUCAGACAAAGUGACACCUUAAUGGACAAUUAUAAUUUUAAAAUGCUUUGUGUUUUUUAUUUUAUAAAACUGAGGAAAACCAAGACAUGUGCAGCAUAGAAAGAGGUAAUUGUCACAAACAGACUGAUCUUCAGGAUUCAGUAAAAGCAGCAGUGGCGGCUCGUGACUGCUCAUCCGAGGGGCGCUAAUUCCAAAUAAGUGUUCAGAGUGUCAUGUGUGUUGCUUGCGUUUUCAAAAUAUGUGUUGGUUGCGUCAUGUGAACCAUGUGCAUCACGUGUUUUGUCAAAGUAAGUGCCUGCUGCACACGCGUCAAAACCAUUUAUGAUAAAAGAGAUGCUCACGUUCACAAAAUACACACAAGACACUCCCUUAACAGUAAAUUCUGAUUACGCAUGAGAUUAUGCGAGUAUCUGGCAAACGCGAGUGUCUCUUUUAUCAUAAACCCUUUGGACACGUUUGCAGCAGGCACUUAUUUUGACAAGACACAUGAUGCACACAGGAUCUCUCAUAGCGCAGAACACAUAUUGUGAAAAAAGGAACCACACACAUCACGGGCUACAUACAUAUUGUGACGAACUUCGCAUUGAGCGCUCUCAAAAAAAGAAGUCACCGGCCGCCACUGAAAAUCAGUAAAGUUAAUAAUGCAUACAUUUGUGGAAAGUCUGAGCAGGGGAAGAUGAUUACAGCAUUGGGUGCACUUUGAAAAAGUGAAAACAAGAAUGCUUGAAAAAACAUCAAAUAUUAAACUUUUUAGAGGACUGCAUGGCAUAGACAAUGACUGAGAGGACUAAAUCCCUAUCCAGCCCUUAAAGUCCCUUCAGUUCUUGCAUUUGAGGUCCAAAGCAUACUUGACACAGACAUUGAAAGAAACAUGCUGAAGAAUCUAGGCCUGGUGGCACAGAAAGUGAUUAAUGAGUGCCACAGAAGACAGGUUGGAGUGGAUAUCUGUAGCGAAGUGGAUGAAGCAAAACAAGCCUACAUUGAUUUGGCACACAGAGGUCUCUCAAUGGCUGCUGCUGCUACCAUGUUGCUUCUAUUUCUUUUCAAGGAGAGCCCAAGAUUCCUUUAUGUCAUUAAUCAGGUAAGCGUAUGUGGCUAAGUUUAUCUUUUAAGAGUUUAAAUCUAUAUUAAUCCUUUUUCAACCCUAUCUUUUAAUAUCAACUUUUUAAAGCCGGUAUUGCAUUGUGACCAGUGGCGGCUGGUGACUUCUCUUCCGAGGGGCGUUAAUUAAUAAUAUGUGUUCGGAGUGUCAUUUGUGUUGCUUGUUAUGUCAAAAUAUGUGUUCAGCCCGUCAUGUAAACCAUGUGCAUUAUGCGUCUUGUCAAAAUAAGUGCCUGCUGCACAUGCAUCGAAAUGAUAUGAUAAAAAAGACACAUUCAAUACUCGCAAGACACUAACUUAAAAGUGCAGUGUGUACAUUUUAGCAGCAUCUAGUGGUGAUGUUGUGAGUUACAACCAACAGCUCAGUCCACUGCUCACCCCUCGCUUUUGAAACGCAUAGAGAAGCUACGGUAGCCGUCACCAGAAAAACAUGUCAUCGUCGGAUACAACUUAAUAAAAAAAGUUUGUCCGUUAAGGGCUUCUGUAGAAACAUGGUGGUACAAAAUGGCGACUUCCAUGUAAGGGGACCCUCGGUGUAUGUAGAUAAAAACGUCUCAUUCUAAG